CUCAGCACUCACAUCACUGCUCCAUCAUUAUUCACAGGAACCAACCUGGACCUGAACCCAGCUGUGUGUCCUUAAGGAGCGACCAUUCAAAGGAUUUUGAUAUUGAUUUGAAACAAAGACAUCUAUCUGACACAGAGAUGUAUCAGAAACCUGAACACAGCUGUGUGUCCUUAAAAAGCGACAGGUCAAUGGAUUUUAAUCCUCAUUUUAAAGAAAAUACUCCUGCUGCAGAGAGAGUGGACCAGGAGAGUUCAAAGGUUCCCAGUGAUCAACCUGCCAUGCAGCAUCAA